rnacentral:misc_RNA from 1 species
UAUUAGUAGUUGGUUAAGUUUAAUUAUGGCUUAAUUUCUUACUGGAAAUUCAUUUUAUGAAAUUUAGGAUAACCCCAUUCGGAUUUUUUUGCUUUCUAUGAGCCGCCGGUGUUUUAGGCACCUUUUUUUUGUUUAGAUGAAAUUUUACAUCGCUUAAGCCGAACCCCUUUGGUGUUAAAGGUUAGUCUGUGCUUUAAUUUGGUACGCCUGCUGUGUUUUAAGUGCUUUUCGUGACCCUUGUUUGUAUUUUAUUUUUAAGGACGUUUGGUUUUUAUGUUUGAUUCAGAAGUCUUUUGUCUCAUUCUGGAUGCUGUCUGCUGAACUCCAUUGAACCUAAAAUAUGCAUUAAGUUGAACUAUUGAUGAUUAUGUGCUGUUUAUAUUGAGGCUAUGUCGUGUUUUGGGUGUGGUUAUAUUGCUUGAAUUGGAAUAUGCUUUGUGAGUUGUGACCAUUUUUGUUUUUGGAGUGUACUGCUUUUUCAAGUGCUUUUUUGGUGAGCUAUGGUUGUCCCCCAACAAAGCCAUCUAGAUUUGUCUUGGUUUUCUGCAAACAGAAGUUGGACUUUUUAAUUUACCUAAUGAAUUAAGUUGUUUAUUUCAUAAUUUGUUUAGUUUAGAAUAUUGUUUUCAUAACUUGACUGGACUAGAUUUGCAUUAAAAUGAACCAUUGUGAUUUACACUAUUUGUGCUACGGUUUUUGGUUUUUGGCCUAAUCAGUGUUUUCAGUGAACCUAGCACUAAGCCAGCUCAAAAUGUGAUAUGUAAGCUGGUCACACUUGUAUUUGAGCAUGUUUGAUUGUUUUCAUGGCAGUAUACGCUUAUAUUUUGAUGAGGUGAACCCAUCAGGGCUAAUAGUGUUUUUCUGAUGCCUGUAUGAUUUGUCGAGUGGUCUCAGUUUCUUGGAUUGACUUGUGAAGCAGGGUUAUGAUUGAUUAGUUCUGUUUUUGAUUAUUUAGUUUUGUGACUUCAAGUUUGUGGUUAGUGAACAUGCAAACUUCUACUGUGUUUGUAAGCUUCAUAUGAACCCAAUUUGUGUUGACUAUUUGGACUGCUUAACCCUUUGGGUUUCCUUUUUCGUUUUAUAAUUUUUAUUUGGAUUGCUAGAAGAACCUCACUAAUUAGUUCAAGUCUGUGUUAACUUCAUUGGUUAAUUGGGAACUUGCUAUAAAUCUAUUUUGUAUCUACAUUUUUUAAUGCAUCAAAUGCCUUGAGGUAAAGUAUGUCUUUAUUUUGCAGAUUUCGGUUUAUUCAUAGAUAAUGUGGAUCAAGUAUUUUGCGUUAUAGGAAUUAAUUUUUAAGCAGCAUAAAAUGUAUUCAUGUUUUGACUUUUGACAAUGAAUUCAUUUUCAGCAUAGGUAUAAUUGUUUUCUAUCAUUACUUUUUAUUUUUUAUAUGGUAGAGGAGGAGAGUAUCAUGGCUUGAACAUGUGAUCUCUGCCCAAUGCAUCCACCACCUGAACUAGGCUCAAGCGGUGUUCAGUUGCAUACCUGACAUGCACUGAAUUUUUCCUAAAAAAUAUUUGUCUUUAGAUAAAUGUUAAUUGGCUAUUAUAUGUAUGGGAUACAAUGUCAUCUAUGGUAAUUUUAAUUAUUUUAUGAUGUUGACAUGGCAUGUAUCUAGUUUAAUUGCUCUAUUGCUAUAUUUAAACUUCCUAUAAAUGUCCAGAACUUCAUUUGAGAUGCAUUGGUGCAGUACAGUUGUCUGAUGCGUUGGGAUGUAGGAGUUUGUAUAGGUUAGGAAAGAAAUCAAGGUAAGCAAUAUAACAGGACUUGUAUUCAAUUUGAGUAAGGUCAGUGUUAUUAAGGCGAGAGGCUACACUAAGGCAAUAGGGGACUCUAUGGUCUUAGGCAAGAGGCGAGGUGUAGGCCUUUUUGAAGUGAGGCACCAUAGCCUCAAUUACGCGCACACGCACACACACGCGCGCACACGCACACACGCACGAACGCACACACACUUUUAAUAUAAA